rnacentral:rRNA from 1 species
GACGAACGCUGGCGGCGUGCUUAACACAUGCAAGUCGAGCGGUAAGGCCCUUUCGGGGGUACACGAGCGGCGAACGGGUGAGUAACACGUGGGUGACCUGCCCUCAGCUCUGGGAUAAGCCUGGGAAACUGGGUCUAAUACUGGAUAUGACUCCACGGUGCAUGUCGUGGGGUGGAAAGCCUUGUGCGGCUGAGGAUGGGCCCGCGGCCUAUCAGCUUGUUGGUGGGGUGANGGCCUACCAAGGCGACGACGGGUAGCCGGCCUGAGAGGGCGACCGGCCACACUGGGACUGAGACACGGCCCAGACUCCUACGGGAGGCAGCAGUGGGGAAUCUUGCGCAAUGGGACGAAAGCCUGACGCAGCGACGCCGCGUGAGGGAUGACGGCCUGGU